UCUACUCUCAAAAAGUCAUCAUUCACAUGACAUGCUUGAUCCAUUACCAGUGCUACCUAUAUGAAUGUACUGAAUAUUGACUCCACUGUCAGAUUUCAUCACUUACAUGCAGUCCUUAAGACUUCCAAGUCUUACAAGCAUUACAAAAGUUAUGAAGGCACAGAAUCAACUUUCAAGCUAGGAAUAGGGUGGGGAAAAUGUGGUGGAGAAGGGAAAAUGCAGUUUUGGCAAGUGAACUGGUGUGGGCUUUGAAGCCACGCUCCUCUGUCCAGCUAACAGUGACGAAAACCCAGGGUGACAUUGAUACACAGCAACGUGUUACUUCAGUCUAUCCCCCACAGGCGAACUGAAGAACACAUUGCGUCUGCUUUACAGCUAUUACUAAACAAGAGAACAGCUGUAGGAGAAUAAGGACAAAACGCCCGGCUAUGAGUUACUGCAAAAGGCUGCAGUGCUCUGAUGAACUGCCAAUCGGCUGAUACGAUAAAGACUUCCACAUGCAUCUCUCUGCUCUGCAGAACUGCCUCAUACUCCAGCAUCCAUCACUGAGGCUCAGCACCAUCUGUGUUAUAGGGAGUGACCUGAAUGUGAGCCAGAGAGAUGGAGAAAGCCACGUUUAAGCAGGAACAUGGCACUCACAGAAAGCAAUGAAGGAGUCACGAAAGUCAAAGUGAUGACGUCUUUAUGCUGUGCAUUCCACUGAUGUUACAGACGGAGCUUUCUGACAUCUUCCUGGUGCAGUAC